GAUGAACGCUGGCGGCGUGCCUAAUACAUGCAAGUCGAGCGAACAGAUAAGGAGCUUGCUCCUUUGACGUUAGCGGCGGACGGGUGAGUAACACGUGGGUAACCUACCUAUAAGACUGGAAUAACUCCGGGAAACCGGGGCUAAUGCCGGAUAACAUUUAGAACCGCAUGGUUCUAAAGUGAAAGAUGGUUUUGCUAUCACUUAUAGAUGGACCCGCGCCGUAUUAGCUAGUUGGUAAGGUAACGGCUUACCAAGGCAACGAUACGUAGCCGACCUGAGAGGGUGAUCGGCCACACUGGAACUGAGUCACGGUCCAGACUCCUACGGGAGGCAGCAGUAGGGAAUCUUCCGCAAUGGGCGAAAGCCUGACGGAGCAACGCCGCGUGAGUGAUGAAGGUCUUCGGAUCGUAAAACUCUGUUAUUAGGGAAGAACAAAUGUGUAAGUAACUGUGCACGUCUUGACGGUACCUAAUCAGAAAGCCACGGCUAACUACGUG
rnacentral:rRNA from 1 species